GAAGACAGUUUCUCAGGGGUUUGCUUGGGAAGAGCACCAGUCCCAUAAGGACAGGGCAAACCUCUCCUCCAGCACCAGGUCCUGUCGUUGGCUGCCCCCAGGGCUCAUCCCCCUCUCAGAGAAGGUUUUCAGCAGCGUAAAUAGGCCAGACAGGACUGAGCCUGUAUUUCUGGAGCAGCCUGGGCAUCUCAAACCUGGUGCACGAGCACCACAGCAUCUGUUCUGUAACAUACCCAGUCUGGACUUCAUGCUGGCGAGAUUAUUUCACAGGAGCCAUUAGGAGCACGUAACAGGGAAUUAGGGAGCUUUCAUCAGAAAGCUUCUACAGUGAUAGUUUCUUGUUCUAUUGGUGUGAUUGUUAAAUAUACAAAUUAUGUGAAGAUAAAAAAAAAAUCAUUAAAAUGCAAUUAUUCCAGCAAUGUAAGUUUAUGGCUAUGUAAGUACAUUAAAAGACCAACUUUGUAGGUCUUUAUGUGCUUAAUAAAACUGAAUAAUUUGCUAAAAUAAUCUUUGGUGGCAGUAGCAAGUAAAUUUUGUAUUUCCAUUUGACUUGAAGCAUAUUCCAGGUAUAUUAAAAAAAGAUUACUGCAUUUUAAACCAUAUGUCCCCAUACUGGGUGUGAAGAACAACAGGGAAAAACAAAAAGAGAGCAUGAUGUGUGCGUAAUCUCUUCUUCUGCAUGCCAGUAUUGCAGGUUGAAACUGUCGCUAAUGGAAAGUUGGUCAGCCAAAGAUGGAGAAGGGCAGGAAAGCCCCGAAGCACACCUUGUCAUCAGGUUGUUUGCAGCUCCUCCUGCCUUCGCCCUUCCACAUCGCUGAGACAUGCAAGAUGCAAAAAGCCGACUGGAGGAGGAAGAGACAAAUGGAAACUGAUGGAAAAGCGGAGUGAGACAACUCAGGGCAUUUUACCACCACCUGCAUUACCUCGUGGUGGCAGAUGUUGGACGUGGCCAAAGCUGAUGUUGGGGGCUGCCUGGGAGAGAACGGGGGUGAAGACGUCAGCCCAGACAGAUAGCCCUCCCUGCUCCAUCCGCUGGCAUCAAUCUGUGCUGAAGUCGGUGCUGCACGCAGCCGAGGCUCUGACCUUCACCUUGCAGCACCACGGAGGCACCGACACCCAAGCACUCUGAUCGCAUCUGAGGAAGCCAGAAGUCUGGAAUUAUGGAAAGGGAGCAAAACCAUAGUCUGAGUUGGUGGUUAAUACAACAGCAAGUAAAAGGAAGGAGGGGAGAGAGGUACAACAGAGCAAAUGGGCUGUCGGAGAUGCGGUCCUGUUUCUGCCUCAUGCAGUAACAAACUUGGUGCAUCCCGCAGCGCUCAGUUAAGAUCAUAAGGGACGUUGCAGCAGAAAUCACAAGGAAUGAGGGCCAGCUGGGGAACAGCCAUCAAGAACUGUAUAAGAAUGAAGAAUUUUCAUUUCCAAUUUCAUAACUGUCAUAAAAAUAGAAUAUGUACAGACGUCUGAGGGACUUAGGGUGGUCUUAUUGCUUACUGCAGGCAAACAAAGAGAUUAUUCCAUAUAACUAGAUUCAGCUUGGGAUGUCUGCCUGUUUUGUUCUGGAAAUAUUCAGAAUUUAUACCAGCAGAGUACUUUAGCCUUUUGUAUUUGGUGCAUUUGGAAAAUCAAUUGGCAACAUUUCACAAGGCAAACACUGGUGGUUUUUUUUCAGUUUGUUUGCAGAUUUUCCUCAGUUCUUAGAAACCUAAGUGCGUGCAGACUUCUAUUUUUUGGUGGUGGCUGUAUACACGUGCACACCCAUACUGCUCUGUGCAGAGGCUAUUGCAGGUACUGGCGUUCGUGUCUGGAAGCAGAACAGGUCUUUAAGUAGCAGAGCUUGUGAAGGCACACCAAGAAAGCAGUCUGAUCUGAUCGGUUCACAUGGCAUCAACUUUUUGUGUUGUUUAAUAUCUCCCUGAGGGGCAUGCCCCUCAUAAGGCUCAACAAGUCUUGGAA
rnacentral:lncRNA from 1 species